CACGUAGGGGGCAAGCGUUGUCCGGAUUUAUUGGGCGUAAAGAGCUCGUAGGCGGUUCGAUAAGUCGGGUGUGAAACCUCCAGGCUCAACCUGGAGACGCCACCCGAUACUGUCGUGACUAGAGUCCAGUAGGGGAGCGUGGAAUUCCUGGUGUAGCGGUGAGAUGCGCAGAUAUCAGGAGGAACACCGAUGGCGAAGGCAGGUCUCUGGGCCACUACUGACGCUGAGAAGCGAAAGCAUGGGGAGCGAACAGG
rnacentral:rRNA from 1 species